UACGAAGGGGGCUAGCGUUGCUCGGAAUCACUGGGCGUAAAGGGUGCGUAGGCGGGUUUUUAAGUCAGGGGUGAAAUCCCAGAGCUCAACUCUGGAACUGCCUUUGAUACUGUCGAUCUGGAGUAUGGAAGAGGUGAGUGGAAUUCCGAGUGUAGAGGUGAAAUUCGUAGAUAUUGGGAAGAACACCGGUGGCGAAGGCGGCUCACUGGCUCAUUUCUGACGCUCAGGCGCGACAGCGUGGGGGAUCAAACAGG
rnacentral:rRNA from 1 species